rnacentral:rRNA from 1 species
AUUGAACGCUGGCGGCAGGCCUAACACAUGCAGGUCGAACGGUAACAGGAAGAAGCUUGCUUCUUUGCUGACGAGUGGCGGACGGGUGAGUAAUGUCUGGGAAACUGCCUGAUGGAGGGGGAUAACUACUGGAAACGAUAGCUAAUACCGCAUAACGUCGCAAGACCAAAGAGGGGGACCUUCGGGCCUCUUGCCAUCGGAUGUGCCCAGAUGGGAUUAGCUAGUAGGUGGGGUAACGGCUCACCUAGGCGACGAUCCCUAGCUGGUCUGAGAGGAUGACCAGCCACACUGGAACUGAGACACAGUCCAGACUCCUACGGGAGGCAGCAGUGGGGAAUAUUGCACAAUGGGCGCAAGCCUGAUGCAGCCAUGCCGCGUGUAUGAAGAAGGCCUUCGGGUUGUAAAGUACUUUCAGCGGGGAGGAAGGGAGUAAAGUUAAUACCUUUGCUCAUUGACGUUACCCGCAGAAGAAGCACCGGCUAACUCCGUG